GUUGGGGAGACGAACAGACGUUUAAUUGGAGAGAGGGUCAAAGCAUCUUCGGCAGGCAUGACUAUGUGACUGCUCAACUAGAAGAUGACAUUGAACUUUCACCAUCUCAUAUCCAUCAGGUGCGGCUACGGGUGCAGUGGAACAUGGAGCAGUAAGCGAUGAUGUGGCCACAGGACAUAGA